AACGAACGCUGGCGGCAUGCCUAACACAUGCAAGUCGAACGAGACCUUCGGGUCUAGAGGCGCACGGGUGCGUAACGCGUUGGAUCCUGCCCUUAGGUUCGGAAUAACUCCCCGAAAGGGGUGCUAAUACCGGAUAAUGUUUUCGGACCAAAGAUUUAUCGCCUUUGGAUGGGCCCGCGUUGGAUUAGCUAGGUGGUAGGGUAAAAGCCUACCAAGGCGACGAUCCAUAGCUGGUCUGAGAGGAUGAUCAGCAACACUGGGACUGAGACACGGCCCAGACGCCUACGGGAGGCGGCAGUGGGGAAUAUUGGACAAUGGGCGAAAGCCUGACCCAGCAAUGCCGCGUGAGUGAUGAAGGCCUUAGGGUUGUAAAGCUCUUUUACCCGGGAUGAUAAUGACAGUACCGGGAGAAUAAGCUCCGGCUAACUCCGUG
rnacentral:rRNA from 1 species